AUGAACGCUAGCGACAGGCUUAACACAUGCAAGUCGAGGGGCAGCACAGGUAGCAAUACCGGGUGGCGACCGGCGCACGGGUGAGUAACGCGUAUGCAACUUACCUAUCAGAGGGGGAUGACCCGGCGAAAGUCGGACUAAUACCGCAUGAAGCAGGGGCCCCGCAUGGGGAUAUUUGCUAAAGAUUCAUCGCUGAUAGAUAGGCAUGCGUUCCAUUAGGCAGUUGGCGGGGUAACGGCCCACCAAACCGACGAUGGAUAGGGGUUCUGAGAGGAAGGUCCCCCACAUUGGUACUGAGACACGGACCAAACUCCUACGGGAGGCAGCAGUGAGGAAUAUUGGUCAAUGGCCGAGAGGCUGAACCAGCCAAGUCGCGUGAGGGAUGAAGGUUCUAUGGAUCGUAAACCUCUUUUAUAAGGGAAUAAAGUGCGGGACGUGUCCCGUUUUGUAUGUACCUUAUGAAUAAGGAUCGGCUAACUCCGUGCCAGCAGCCGCGGUAAUACGGAGGAUCCGAGCGUUAUCCGGAUUUAUUGGGUUUAAAGGGUGCGUAGGCGGCCUUUUAAGUCAGCGGUGAAAGUCUGUGGCUCAACCAUAGAAUUGCCGUUGAAACUGGGGGGCUUGAGUAUGUUUGAGGCAGGCGGAAUGCGUGGUGUAGCGGUGAAAUGCAUAGAUAUCACGCAGAACCCCGAUUGCGAAGGCAGCCUGCCAAGCCAUUACUGACGCUGAUGCACGAAAGCGUGGGGAUCAAACAGGAUUAGAUACCCUGGUAGUCCACGCAGUAAACGAUGAUCACUAGCUGUUUGCGAUACACUGUAAGCGGCACAGCGAAAGCGUUAAGUGAUCCACCUGGGGAGUACGCCGGCAACGGUGAAACUCAAAGGAAUUGACGGGGGCCCGCACAAGCGGAGGAACAUGUGGUUUAAUUCGAUGAUACGCGAGGAACCUUACCCGGGUUUGAACGCAUUCGGACCGAGGUGGAAACACCUUUUCUAGCAAUAGCCGUUUGCGAGGUGCUGCAUGGUUGUCGUCAGCUCGUGCCGUGAGGUGUCGGCUUAAGUGCCAUAACGAGCGCAACCCUUGCCACUAGUUACUAACAGGUAAAGCUGAGGACUCUGGUGGGACUGCCAGCGUAAGCUGCGAGGAAGGCGGGGAUGACGUCAAAUCAGCACGGCCCUUACAUCCGGGGCGACACACGUGUUACAAUGGCGUGGACAAAGGGAAGCCACCUGGCGACAGGGAGCGAAUCCCCAAACCACGUCUCAGUUCGGAUCGGAGUCUGCAACCCGACUCCGUGAAGCUGGAUUCGCUAGUAAUCGCGCAUCAGCCAUGGCGCGGUGAAUACGUUCCCGGGCCUUGUACACACCGCCCGUCAAGCCAUGGGAGCCGGGGGUACCUGAAGUCCGUAACCGCGAGGAUCGGCCUAGGGUAAAACUGGUGACUGGGGCU
rnacentral:rRNA from 1 species